AAAACUUAGACAUGAGAAGUCGCUUAGAUGCCUAGCUGCUGAUACGAGUAACUGCCGACAAGACAACUUUGGGGAGAAAGAAAACCUCUGAAGCAGAAGGUUGAUUCUCCUGCAGGAGGACAGCUUAAGAACCUGACUGAAGGAGAAGCAAUAGAUCGGCUGGCUAGGGAACCUUUGAAUGCUACAACACUGUUCCUUGCUAUGCUGUCUGUGGUGAUUAUACCAGCAAUGGGGACCAAGCAACUGGGCUUAUAUUCCUCAUCCUUCCAUUAACAAAGGGAGGAAGGCCAGCAGUCUGGAUGCCGGAGAAGCUGUGGAGACUGUGGCAAGACUCAUCUGUGUUGAUUCUAGUCCAGAAACUCACUGAAAGAAUAUUAAGAAGAACUCAUUGGAUGACUGGAUUGAUUAUUGCUGUGGUUAUGGGAAUUAUUGCAUUGACUUCUACUGCUGCAACACCUGGAUUGGCCCUUCAUAAAGAAAUUGCUGAAUUUGUGAGAGAUCGGCAUCGGCAUUCUGCAGAACUUUGGGCUCAACAAAAUAAAAUAGCCAGUGAGAUAGUUAAUGAAAUAGCUGACUUGAAACAAGCUGUGUUACCUUCCAGAGAAAGAGACUUUGGAAGAAUAAAUUAAAGUAAAAUGUGAUUGGAAUAUUACCUCGUAUUGUAUUAAGGUUUAAUGAAAGCGAGUUUGACUGAGAAAAAGGUUAAAAUGCAUUUGUUGAGUCACCCUAAGUCUUCUCAAGUGAUUUAUGAUUUACAACAAGAAAUUAAGGAAACUUUUUCAAAUAAAUUGCCUGGGAUGAAUGCUAUGGCAAGAUAUCAUAGCUUCCUUUAAUCCUAUGGGAUUUCUUAUCCUAGCAGUUGUCAUACUUUCUUUUGCUGUGAUAACUUUACUGGCUUUGGAAUGUAUUCUGGCUUAUCUACAUAAGAAUGUGAAACAACAUGAUAGAGAAAGGCUUUCUUCAGUGUGUGGCUGCAUGAUCUUCAACAUAAUUAAAAUAGUUUAUACAAAAUGGGGAAAUGUAGAGGAAAAAUUACCAGAGUCAUUGUAUCUAGGAUAAAC
rnacentral:lncRNA from 1 species